GCUUCUGGAUUACUCGGGAUUGUUCCUGUGCCCUUCCAGGCUUUCUGUGCUCCCUGAAACAAUGGGGCUGGACUGAUCUGGGGAUCCCGCAUUUGCCGCUGGUUUCUUUCUCCUCAUGGGCCCUGAGAGGCCUUGGGGGCCUUGGAGUCAGGCGCAGCACCCAGCUCUGUACCUGAGCUGUGAGCCAGGAUUAAAUAAAUCGGCGGAUGUCUGGAUUUCGUUGAGAGCCAGGGUUUCCCCUGUGGGAGAAGAGAAACGCCCGUGUGGAAUGGAGAGGGAAGAAAGAGCCCCCUGGAAUGAAUGAUAUCAGUGUGAACUCAUGUAACACAGGCACGUGUACGUACGUACGUACGUACGUACGAAGCACCCACGCAGGCACGGUCCCUCCCGAGGCCAAGCAGCACUGCUACCCUAGUAGUGACGAGCACAGAAGGAAAUUCAUGCAUUAUGGAUGAGGACUAUUUCUUAUUCAGCAGCCAAGGCUGGCUCUUCUAUCAAA
rnacentral:lncRNA from 1 species